UGUGUAGAUGGAACUGCCAUUCUCUGGCUUUGAGCUGACCUUCAUCAUCAUCGCCUUCGUCAUCUUCUCCCUCUUCACUCUGGCUUCAGUCUGCAUCCAGCCACAAGAAGACGAACCAGAAAAAGGUGUCCUUGAAGCAAAGAAGUCCCAACCACGCAACAGGAAGCAGAGAGUGAUCAUCAAACAAGCUGGACGCAAACCAUAGAUCUCCAUCAGCUGGAUUUUAAUUUCACAUUCAGAACUCAAAGUGAACUAAAAACUGCAAAAAUCGCUUCUCAUUUAGUUUAUUUUGGCAUUAAACAUGAGUCAUAGUUGCUCAUAGUGUUGAGAUAAUGGCUGCAAUUCUGGAUUUUCACAAUAAAACAAAGGCAACCAUGA